AUAUAGCUACUAUUAAUUUGAAGAAAAGCAAAUAUCAAUCAGUAAAACUUCCUCCAAUCGUGAUAAGCAGCUUCUUAUUGGCACAUUGCAAAAGGUGAUUUCUCUUGUAAAUUAAUACGAAAUCCCCGUGUCUGACUUAAAUGCCUUCCAUUUUUUAUAUUUAUAUUUAUAUAUAUAAUAAUUAAAAUAAAAUAAAAACAGAAAGAAAAAGAAAAAUCUGUGAUAAAUAAUCAAAAAUUUAACCAAUUUAUUGUGUCACGAAACUACAGAAAUCGAAUUUCGCGGAUCUUCAAACGGGUCGAAUAGUAUGGGCUCCAAGCGGCAGACGGGUUGCCAUAGGAAAUGGGCACCUGCUGCUGACUCGAAAUGGAGCCGUGAUACGAAUAUUCCCAAACACAAACCCUAAUAUUAUGAUUUAUAAAUUAAAAUCAAAUUAAAAGAUGAGAUCGAAGAAGAUUAGAUCGAAAUUACACCGGAAUUUACUGUUUAAUUUAUGCAGAAGAUAAACGCGGCCGCCAUGGAUAUAGACUGUGAAAU
rnacentral:lncRNA from 1 species